CUGGCCUCUGGCCCACUUUCACCUGACUCCCGGGGUCUGUGUGGUGACCCCAAGCUUCUUGCCCCCACCGCCCUCCACUUCUCAAUGAAUCCUCUCAGAAAAUGAAUGGACCUCAACAUGCCUCAUCUGCUACAAAGAACUGCCCACAGUUCAGUCACGCUCUGCACUAGGAUCUGGAUGCCUGAAGACAGGGACCACACCUCGCACCACCACCGGUGAAGACAACGACUUUUGGAACAUAGCCACACACAGAAACUGUUCUUAUCAAGCAGACAAGAGGCGACCUGGGACAACCUCAUCCCUACUGGAGUGCCUGCUGCAAGUACUGCUCCUGAUGCACCCCGGUGGCUCCAUUACUCGGAUUCCUGUCACAGAGGAGAUGCAGACUGACUUCUGGGACCCUCGCUUGGGCCUGGCCCAGCUCUGGCUAUCACAGGCACUGGGGGAUGAACCAGCAGCUGAAGAAUCUUUCUCCUGUUCCAUCUCUCCAUCUUUUCCAAUAAGAUGCAAAUAAACAAAAACAUUGU